GAUGAACGCUGGCGGCGUGCUUAACACAUGCAAGUCGAACGAAGCACUUAAGAUUGAUUCUUCGGAUGAUUUCUUUUGUGACUUAGUGGCGGACGGGUGAGUAACGCGUGGGUAACCUGCCUUACACAGGGGGAUAACAGUUAGAAAUGACUGCUAAUACCGCAUAACCCGAUAGGAUCGCAUGAUCCAGACGGAAAAGAUUUAUCGGUGUGAGAUGGACCCGCGUCUGAUUAGCUAGUUGGUGAGGUAACGGCCCACCAAGGCGACGAUCAGUAGCCGGCCUGAGAGGGUGAACGGCCACAUUGGGACUGAGACACGGCCCAAACUCCUACGGGAGGCAGCAGUGGGGAAUAUUGCACAAUGGGGGAAACCCUGAUGCAGCGACGCCGCGUGAGUGAAGAAGUAUUUCGGUAUGUAAAGCUCUAUCAGCAGGGAAGAAAAUGACGGUACCUGACUAAGAAGCCCCGGCUAACUACGUG
rnacentral:rRNA from 1 species